AAAUCUUUUAAUUUACAAGUGCGUACAUAUAUUGUGGUUCUUGAUUGAUGUAUUUUUCUAUGCAGGUGCUAGAACAUCUUAAUGUUUUUGCAAGAGAUGAUAUUGAUGCAGCCGCUGAAGCGUUAAACGGGAUGCCAUUAAAGCAGUUAUAUGCGGUGGUGGAUAAGGCUGCUGUCAGAGAAAAGGGAAGAAAUUUAGAAGCUAUUUAUUCAGGAAAAGAGAAGAUCAAUAUAAAUAACUUCUUUGAUACAUUGAGUGAUUAUGCAUCCUUUCUCUGAUAUUUUUUUCUUCACUUCCUCACUCAUUUUUGAGUGAUUAUGUAAGAGCUUAAAUUUGGUGGUGGAAAGGGCUGUUGCUGGAGAUUUCUGCAUAUUACUAUGCUUUGAAUAUUUUGAAAAAAAAACCUGCAUUACUAUGCGUUGAACAUUUUGAAAA